UUUUUGGUGUGUGUUUUGAAGGGGAAGAUCUUCCGUCAUAGUUCCGGGUCGCAUUUUUGGGAUAAAUUUCCAGUUAUAAGUUCUUUUGAUUUUGAGUUUGACGGAAGGAGGAGCGAGAGAGCAGCAACAGCCGAAUUUAGCUUUUUACAAUUGACAAUUCUGGGAUUUGGUCAAGUGCAAAGAAGUUCAGAAGCCAAACAAAUACAACAAUCUUAUCCGGGGAAAAAUAAGGGAAUCAACAGUCAAGUAAAUUAUCCCCUAAGUUUAAGUUACGUUAAAUUUUUAACAUCAAUUGACAAAUUUGCUACUUAGAAUGCCACUCUGAGAGUAAGUUAAAAAUAGAAAAAUCUUGCUUGUUUGCCAUUUGGCCAUUACCGUUACUCAUAAUCGAGACCAAUCUAAGCGGGAGGGGUGCUGAAACACGUAAUUGUAAAACUUGCAUGAGAAGAUCCACGCGAGCUUUGGCUUCUCCGUCUUUGUUAUUUA